rnacentral:miRNA from 1 species
AAGCUUAAUGAGAACAUGUG